UUUUUGGAGAGUUUGAUCCUGGCUCAGGACGAACGCUGGCGGCGUGCCUAAUACAUGCAAGUCGAGCGAGUCUCUUCGGAGGCUAGCGGCGGACGGGUGAGUAACA
rnacentral:rRNA from 1 species